CUAUAAUGCAGUCGACGAACUCUGGUAUUGAUUGGUGCUUGCAUCAUGAUUUACAUUUGAGUGAGUGGCGAACUGGUGAGUAACACGUGGGAAACCUGCCCAGAAGCGGGGGAUAACACCUGGAAACAGAUGCUAAUACCGCAUAACAACUUGGACCGCAUGGUCCGAGUUUGAAAGAUGGCUUCGGCUAUCACUUUUGGAUGGUCCCGCGGCGUAUUAGCUAGAUGGUGGGGUAACGGCUCACCAUGGCAAUGAUACGUAGCCGACCUGAGAGGGUAAUCGGCCACAUUGGGACUGAGACACGGCCCAAACUCCUACGGGAGGCAGCAGUAGGGAAUCUUCCACAAUGGACGAAAGUCUGAUGGAGCAACGCCGCGUGAGUGAAGAAGGGUUUCGGCUCGUAAAACUCUGUUGUUAAAGAAGAACAUAUCUGAGAGUAACUGUUCAGGUAUUGACGGUAUUUAACCAGAAAGCCACGGCUAACUACGUGCCAGCAGCCGCGGUAAUACGUAGGUGGCAAGCGUUGUCCGGAUUUAUUGGGCGUAAAGCGAGCGCAGGCGGUUUUUUAAGUCUGAUGUGAAAGCCUUCGGCUCAACCGAAGAAGUGCAUCGGAAACUGGGAAACUUGAGUGCAGAAGAGGACAGUGGAACUCCAUGUGUAGCGGUGAAAUGCGUAGAUAUAUGGAAGAACACCAGUGGCGAAGGCGGCUGUCUGGUCUGUAACUGACGCUGAGGCUCGAAAGUAUGGGUAGCAAACAGGAUUAGAUACCCUGGUAGUCCAUACCGUAAACGAUGAAUGCUAAGUGUUGGAGGGUUUCCGCCCUUCAGUGCUGCAGCUAACGCAUUAAGCAUUCCGCCUGGGGAGUACGGCCGCAAGGCUGAAACUCAAAGGAAUUGACGGGGGCCCGCACAAGCGGUGGAGCAUGUGGUUUAAUUCGAAGCUACGCGAAGAACCUUACCAGGUCUUGACAUACUAUGCAAAUCUAAGAGAUUAGACGUUCCCUUCGGGGACAUGGAUACAGGUGGUGCAUGGUUGUCGUCAGCUCGUGUCGUGAGAUGUUGGGUUAAGUCCCGCAACGAGCGCAACCCUUAUUAUCAGUUGCCAGCAUUAAGUUGGGCACUCUGGUGAGACUGCCGGUGACAAACCGGAGGAAGGUGGGGAUGACGUCAAAUCAUCAUGCCCCUUAUGACCUGGGCUACACACGUGCUACAAUGGAUGGUACAACGAGUUGCGAACUCGCGAGAGUAAGCUAAUCUCUUAAAGCCAUUCUCAGUUCGGAUUGUAGGCUGCAACUCGCCUACAUGAAGUCGGAAUCGCUAGUAAUCGCGGAUCAGCAUGCCGCGGUGAAUACGUUCCCGGGCCUUGUACACACCGCCCGUCACACCAUGAGAGUUUGUAACACCCAAAGUCGGUGGGGUAACCUUU
rnacentral:rRNA from 2 species